UCCGUGGUAACCUAGUGGUUAUGGUCACGUGCUCCUGACGUAACCUGAGUUCGAGCCUUAUGCCAUUGAA